UGAGAGGUGAUGACAUUUUGCUCAGGACACUGAAAUUAAGCAGCUGCUCCUGGCUGAGCUCUUGGACUCCAACCACACAGCCCGGAUGGCAACUUUCAAGUAUACCCCUGGUGGAAUGUCCCACUUCUGAAUCUGGCAAUUCCCAGAUAAGUUUUGCUUAUUUAUUGGAUUCAAUUUGAUUUGUAUAGCCCUGCAUUUCACAUGUAUGACUGACUGAAGAUUCCCCUUCACUCUAUAAGCAGGAAGGAUGUCAAGGCUAAAAUUCUUGCUCCACUGUGCCUUGUCUUUUGCUGAAGUGAAAUAAGCUCUCCAGGUUGAGAGCUCUCGGAAAGCAAAAUUCUCCAGCUACAUUCUAGAUUUGUCAGGAUGGCUUAUUUAUCGGCAAAGCAACGAGUGGAGAUGACAAUCCUCCAAGGAGGUUUUGGUUGCCUGCCCACAGUCAACCCUCUGGCAGAGCUGGAAGGAAACUGAGGCACCUGAGGAACUCUUUGCUGAACAAAAAGAAGGAGGAUCAAUCAAACUGUGGGGGCACCUGCCCUCUGGAAUGAGCUGCCCCUGAAGGUGAACCUCAACAGAAACUCCCAGCCACACCUUGUGAUCAGGAAUUCUUAUCGCUUUUCUCCAGGGAUGGAGCAGCUACAAUUCCAAGAGGUUUUAACGACUCUCAGAAAGAGUGCUAAUGACCAGAUGAUUGCAAAGAAUAGAAAUCCUUCCGUUCUCCUCCAUUCAGUCAGAAUUGAAGAAGCUUCUUGGAUGAUGAAAUGUCUUCAAGGAAAAACAAAGUAAAACCUUGGAAAAAGUAGGGCUACAACCUAUCCUGCUAAAUUCCUGUCCCAAGCUCUGGAAAUCAUUCUGCACAGAAAGAACAUCUUUUUCAGACUGGCCAUUGGUGCCAAGAUGGACAACUUCUUCAACAUCACAGUCCUUACUAGCUUUCUUGAGUAUCUGAACAACGCACCUCUUUUCUCUGCCGGCAGUAGCACCUGGCAGACAGCUCACCUCUUUCAAAACCUCCACCUCCUUUCCUAAUUUGACAUCUCUUACAAUUGAAUCACCAAGCAGAAAGUGGCUUCUCUUUUUAGAUAUCUUGCUCUUCUCACAUGACGGUUGUGUAAUACCUGAUCCACAUCUUUCCCUGUCCAAAACAACUUCUUAGUCUCAGAGACGAUGCUCCUUUGAGUUAUCACCGUCAUCACAAACAGCUUGACCUGCCAUCUUAGUAUCCCCAUGAAGGUCAACAAGGACACUGUAUCUGCCUGGCAGGGACAGAGUGAAACGUUUGUGUUUAGGAUUCACAGCUCUCACCCUGCCAGAUCUCACAGUUGUCCAUAGUGCCUUUCUCCUGCAGGAUCUUUGUGGCAGAGGGGGCUGAUAGCGGGGUAGUUCAAUAGAACAGGACCCCUGAGCUGGACACCAGGGGUGGGUUCUAAAUUUUUUACUACCGGUUCUGUGGGCAUGGCUUAUUUUGUGGGCGUGGCUUGGGGGUAAUGUGACUGGGUAGG